GACAGGCAGACAAUAUUUUUAUGCCAAUGUAUAUUAUAUAUCUCAUCAAGUAAUAGUCAGUAAUUUUGUGCAGUACAAGUAUAUAUAUUGCAUUGAAGUUGAACUGUAAUUGUAAAAUUUAACCCAGGCAGACAGUACAUUUGUGUAUAUUAUAUAUCUCAUUAGUAAAUAGUAUGUAAACACUCGUAGACAGUUGAAGGAUGAAAAAGGUGCCCCAAAAAUCGACCAGACACUUCAGGUGCUUGUAAAUUUUGACACAGGCAGACAAUAUUUUUAUGCCAAUGUAUAUUACAUAUCUCAUCAAGUAAUAGUCAGUAAUUUUGUGCAGUACAAGUAUAUAUAUUGCAUUGAAGUUGAACUGUAAUUGUAAAUUUUGACACAGGCAGACAGUACAUUUGUGUAUAUUAUAUAUCUCAUUAGUAAAUAGUAUGUAAACACUCGUAGACAGUUGAAGGAUGAAAAAGGUGCCCCAAAAAUCGACCAGACACUUCAGGUGCACCAACAAUUAAUUAGUAAAUAGUAUAUUGAAGUUGGACAGUGAUUGUAAAUAGUAUGUAAACACUUGUAGACAGUUGAAGGAUGAAAAAGUGCCCCAAAAAAUCAACCAGACACUUCAGGUGCACCAACAAUUAAUUAGUAAAUAGUAUAUUGAAGUUGGACAGUGAUUGUAAAUUUU
rnacentral:sRNA from 1 species